rnacentral:lncRNA from 12 species
GCAAGAUUCUAAAAGAGCUAUUUCUAUUAAAAUAAAUUAUUUUAAUAACAAAUACAGAAAGUGGGAAUGCCAGUGCAAGCCUGGAAGGAGGAAGGCCUGGGAGUUCAGACCCAGGGUUCCAGUGCUCAGAUCCCAACGAGGAGCCACUUUCCUGCGAGGCCUGGAGCGUCUUUCUCAUGGGUGAAGUGAAAGAAAUGUACUAGAUGGGUUUCUACAGCCCUCUGCUAAAUUUAAAGUCCCUUGGGGCACCAUAAAAUGUACUCUCCAGACAGCUGUCUGGUAUGACAAACUCUCCUCUACCUCUGCUUUGAGACAUACCUGUAAUUUGCUUUCCCCAAAAUGGGCCUGGGAAAAGAGUAGGUGAGAGGGCAGGGCAAGGAGUAGGGAGAAACUAAAAAACACAACCAGAAAACCCCCGAAAUGACCUUAGGUGCAGGAGAGAAUUUACUUUCUGCUGCUCGUGAUCAAUUUUCUCCAGAUUUCCUUUCUUUGGGGCCCCUUGGCACAGACUCACAGUAGAAAGAGACUAGAACCCAAACUUUGUCAACUCUACAGGUUUUGUGCCCCUCCCCCUUUUCCCCCUCCAAGAAUAAGAGGAACAAGGAAUAAGAGAGCCAGGCGAUCGAUUACACACCACUUACGAGAUACACUGAAAGUUGCAAAGCAAGGAGUUAAUUUGUAUCCUGAUGCAGACCAACAAAACAAUUACAGGGCCGCGGAGGAAAUGUGAACACUGGCAGCGUAUCUGAGGAUAUUUAAGUAAGGGGGAACUAAUUCUUAGGUCUGAUAAGGGUACCGUGGUUGUUUUUAAAAUGAGGCCUUAUCUGCUGGCGGCAUACGCUUAAAAUACUUUCUAACGAAGUUAUACGAGGUCUGCGAUUUGCUUCAAGCCACGGGGCAGGGGUCUAGGUGAAAGCAGCGUCCAGGAGCAGACCAGCGCCGGAGUUGGGGGAGGGGGCGUGGGUACGCACGGCUUGUUCUAGUCGCUACUUUGUGUCGGUCUGAAAUUCUCCUAACAGGCAGUUCCACACAGGAGAGACUUGCGGCGGGUCUGCCCUCGGGUCUACACCGCUCGUGGGAGGGCAAGGAAAAGAAAGGCUCCCGGACCCCAGGGGGCGGGCAGUGUGGGAAGCGCGCAGAAGCCAUCCUGCAAGGGCGCGUCCGCGACGGUGUCCAGGACCCGGCCCUCCCAAUCCGCCCAAGCCGGCCGGCUUUUCCGCCUCUGCGUGCCCCCAGCCCUCGAGAAGGGACAGGCGGAUGCCAGGGUCCGCCUGCCGCGGAGACGGGGUUCAGCUGCUGCGCUGGAGAGACUGUGGGAAAAGGUGAUGACCCUGGAACUACCUGCAAAGGGAGAUUGCUCCAGCUGCCCCGCAGUGUCCCAGCUGAGCAACGCCCUCAAGCAACCCAUAGCCAAACCGCACCAAGGGAAGAACCAGCAACAGCUGCCUGGCUGAGUCCAGGUUGCAGAAUCACGACCACAUGACAUGUGCUAAGUCACUAAGAUUUGCUAUGGACUGACUUGCUAUGCACCAGUAGAUAACUCAAGCAACAAUGAACAAGUUUGACCUACUACAGAUAGGUUUAACAGUGAGGCCAAUGAUUACAGAACACAGAUUCUGUUCAAAUACAAGGAAAAGGCCGCCCGGGUGGCUCAGUGGUUUAGCACCGCCUUCGGCCCGGGGCGUGAUCCUGGAGACCUGGGAUCGAGUCCCAUGUCGGGCUCCCUGCAUGGGCCUGCUUCUCCCUCUGCCUGUGUCUCUGUUUCUCUCUCUGUAUCUCUCUCUGUGUCUCUAUGAAUAAAUAAAUAAAAAAAAUCUUAAAAAAAACA